UACAGAGGGUGCAAGCGUUGUUCGGAAUUAUUGGGCGUAAAGCGCGUGUAGGCGGCUUUGCAAGUCGGGUGUGAAAGCCCUCAGCUACAACUGAGGAAGUGCGCCCGAAACUGCAGAGCUUGAGUGCCGGAGAGGGUGGCGGAAUUCCCCAAGUUAGGAGGUGAAAGUUGUAGAUAUGGGGAGGAACACCGGUGGCGAAGGCGGCCACCUGGACGGUAACUGACGCUGGAGGCACGAAAGCGUGGGGAGCAAACAGG
rnacentral:rRNA from 1 species